GCAGUUGAGCGGAGAUAUUGGAGCUUGCUUUAUAUAACUUAGCAGCGAACGGGUGAGUAACACGUAGAUAAUCUAUCCUAUACUGGGGGAUAGCCCGAUGAAAGUUGGAUUAAUACCGCAUAUAGCUAUAUAGUUGCAUGAUUAUGUAGUGAAAGAUUUAUUGGUAUAGGAGGAGUCUGCGGCACAUUAGCUAGUAGGUGAGGUAAAGGCUUACCUAGGCGACGAUGUGUAGCCGGUCUGAGAGGAUGAACGGCCACAAUGGAACUGAGACACGGUCCAUACUCCUACGGGAGGCAGCAGUGGGGAAUAUUGCACAAUGGGGGAAACCCUGAUGCAGCAACGCCGCGUGAGUGAAGAAGGUUUUCGGAUUGUAAAGCUCUGU
rnacentral:rRNA from 1 species